AUCGCUUCUCGGCCUUUUGGCUAAGAUCAAGUGUAGAUGUCAAUUUUUUGGAGGUUAUUUUUGAAGGAAUGUGAGGUAACUAGUUUAUUUCAGAUUUAGUGAAGAAUAAUAUGUCAGUAAUCUCAA
ensembl:snRNA U2 U2 spliceosomal RNA